CGAGAGGAGGGAGCUGUCGAAGGCGGGAUCAGUAACUGGGGUGAAGUCGUAACAAGGUAGCCGUAUCGGAAGGUGCGGCUGGAUCACCUCCUUU
rfam:Clostridiales bacterium CHKCI001 isolate CHKC1 genome assembly, contig: {contig1}